CCCACUCACCGGUGCUCAUCUCGCCCAGCCAGCAAGAGAGCGCGCCAAAGCGCACCGUGUGGAAGAGCACCGACUUCCCCGGCCGCCCGGGGCUCACGCCGAUGCACACAGCGGGCAGCUCAGAGCCUGGCCCGGUCAGCAGCGCGAACACGGACAGAGGCGUCGGCAGUGGGAACAGCACCUGCUGCGGGCCGCACAGGGAGGGGCGGGCUAGGGGGUGGUUCAGGACGGGGCCUCAGGGGGCGUGGCUUGUAGCUGGCCUGGGACUUCCGAACCAGGGCCCUAAGUCUUGGGGGAUGCCGUCUAGAAAUGUCAGGGGAUAAGGCCUGGUGCCUCCGCGGGAACGGGGGUCGUGACCUCCGAGUGGGUGUGGCUUCCAUGUGGGGGCAUGCCACCUUGGCGGCAGACGGGCAGGGCCCCAAAGAUAGCAAAACCUGCUUAGACACUCAAAGAGACAGGCUCUAAAUGGGCUCUACUAGGACACCCAGGGAGUGGCAGCAUUGAGCCUGAGGAAUAAUUAGGCCCAGGUGUGAGGGGCGGCGCUUAAGGAUCAGGAUGGCUUCAGAAGGACGAGGCUCCAAGCGCAGACCGCAGGUGGGCGGGGCCUCGGGAGAUUGGGGCGGGGCCUCGACGGAGGUGGGGCUUCAUGGAGCUCUUGAUAGAAGCGCAAAGGGUGCAAGGCCUUAGCCACCCACUCCUCAGAGUUCCCAGCACCCUCCCAAGCCCCUUACCCGGACAAGCAGGAAUUUGUUCAUGGGCUGGUACCACUGAAGCAGGACAACGGACGUCUCCAAUGCACCGCACAGGAACGGGCCCCCAGAGCUCGCACCCUCCGCUGUGGCAUGGGCAAGGAUGAGUCAAGAUCAAUGCCCUCUAUCCUCCUCGCCACCCACACUACCACCCAUCUUCUGGGUUCUGGACACAUUGCCUUAACUCUGUAACCUUCUCAGGUGGAUGCAGUUCAAGCCCCUCCUCUGGCCUGGCCCCGCCCACUCUCUGCACACCCGUGAAGCUCUCUCUCACCCACACAGCACGCCCGGCAGCCUUUGGUGUCCUGGAUCUUGGUGGAAACCAUGUUCUUCCUGGAGAAUAGGUAGGUGUGAAGGGGGGUAGGACAGCAGGAGGCAGAGGGGCAUGGGAGGAAUUAUAAGGCUGUGUGGUGCCAUUCAUUGGGAGCUGGUACCUUGCCAGUAGGCGGUGGGGGCUAAUGUGAGCGAUGGGGUUUCCUGCUCUGGUCUCUUUCCGUUCCAGCAGGCCAAGGAUGCUAUGAGAAUACAGGUGGGGGGUCUUUCCUGCAGGGUGUGUGUAUGUAGGGGGAAGCAGGAAGUUAUAGGAUCCCAUAUACCACUUCCUUUCCUCCAUCCCUUCCCUCAGCCCCAUCCCUUUGUCUGAAACUCCCAAGCCUGCAAGUCUCAAGUACUUGUCAUUCAUUCAUUCAUUUCUCACUCCACAUAGAUUGAACGUCCAUUGUAGGCCAGGCCUGCUGUGCUUGGCUCUGGUGAACAGUGAUGAGCAUAAAAAAUAUGUUCCCUACCCUCGUGGUAUUUGUAGCCGUAUCAGAAACUCUGGACACAUAACCAGUCAGAUGAAGUUACACAUCUUACAAAGUUUUAGAAGAAACACAUCUAGAAAAUCUUCUAGUUUGUCAUCACAGAUGUGGCUUUCACUAACUCAUGAAUCCCAUUUGGCUUGGUGUUUCCCCCA
rnacentral:lncRNA from 10 species